GUGAGGAAUAUUGCGCAAUGGCCGAAAGGCUGACGCAGCGACGCCGCGUGGAGGAUGAAGUCCGUUAGGAUGUAAACUCCUUUUGCAGGGGAUGAAUGUUCCGCUUUAUGCGGACUUGACCGUACCCUGCGAAUAAGGAUCGGCCAACUACGUGCCAGCAGCCGCGGUAAUACGUAGGAUCCAAGCGUUGUCCGGAUUUACUGGGUGUAAAGGGCGUGUAGGUGGAUUUUUAAGUCGGUGGUGAAAUCCUGCAGCUCAACUGCAGAAUUGCCUCCGAUACUGGAAAUCUUGAGUGCGGCAGAGGGAGACGGAAUUCAUGGUGUAGCGGUGAAAUGUGUAGAUAUCAUGAAGAACACCGGUUGCGAAGGCGGUCUCCUGGUCCGUUACUGACACUGAGGCGCGAAAGCGUGGGGAGCAAACAGGAUUAGAUACCCUAGUAGUCC
rnacentral:rRNA from 1 species